UCAAACUUGGUCAUUUAGAGGAAGUAAAAGUCGUAACAAGGUUUCCGUAGGUGAACCUGCGGAAGGAUCAUUACCAAAGUGGUAUGGCGGGCCAAAGUCCGUCCAUCCCCUCACCCACUGUGUACCUCACCACCGUUGCUUCGGCGGGCCUGGCCUACGCCGGCCGGCCGGCCCCCUCCUUGGGGGUUGGCCAGCGCCCGCCGGAGGUCCAACUAAACUCUUAUAAUUGUGAUGCUGUCUGAGCUUUGCAAGCAAAUAAAAUAAAACUUUCAACAACGGAUCUCUUGGUUCUGGCAUCGAUGAAGAACGCAGC
rnacentral:misc_RNA from 1 species